GCCAGCUCUUCAUCUUAAAUAACUAUUUGCUAGUCUAUCUAUAUUCACAUACCAAACAUAACGAAUUUCAGCCGAGAAUCUACACACACCAUAUAAUGUCGGCUAGGCCUUAUGCGGGUAGCAAUAGCACAUUCAAUAGCACCUACAAAGCUGAAACAGUUGGCCCAACUACCAAGGACUGACGAUGCUUACCUGCUCGCUGUGUAUUAUAUCGUCACUAGUACCCACUGCUGUUUCGUUUUCAAGGCAAUCUGUUCAAAUUUACAGGGGUCAUUUUCAAC